rnacentral:lncRNA from 1 species
CGGCGGCGGCUUGGGAGGCGGAGGCCGUCUCGGGAGCGCGUUGGAGGGAGACCAAGGAGAGAAAGAGGAGGAGGAGGGGAGAGGACAGAGUUCAGUGACCCAAUACUAUGGAGAUCCACCACGAGUUUGAAGCUUAUGGGCCGUUAAGUACAGGCGGGAGCUAUUCAUUCCUCUUUCGUAAGCUGCUUAAGUACUCGGUUUUAUGCGAUUUGGGGCUACAUGCGCUGUUUAUUGAUGGCUUUUGUUUCUUGCAGGCCGUCUCUGUGGUGGUGGAGGAGGUAUUGCUUCUCUUCUCUGUCGGUUUUUGCAGGUUUGCCUUCGCUGCAGCUUCUACUGAUUCGUAUGCCUGAUUUUUGCAGGUUCUAGGAUUUGGUCAUGUGUUUCUUUUUUUGGUUCGCUUGUGGUAUUUGUUACUGUACAUGCAAUCGUUCGUAGCAAAACUGUUAUGGAUGUGCUGUUUGUGGAGAAAUUGUGGAACCUCUUAAACCUAGAGAGCAGGGACUAGGUUGAUCUGCCUAACCAUAUUUUUGAACUGAGCAUGUUAUUUACAAGGGGGUGUAAAUUCUGUCCUUGUACCGUAAGAAUCUCUGCUAUGUAUGUCUGUCGUUCCUUGCUUGGUGUGUCUUAUCAGUUUUACCAUGGAGAUGUAAGGCUCGGUUAUUACCGGUGCCUACCAAAACAUGGCUUGAGGCUGAAGAACGAGGAAAACUAGCCCUUUUCAUGUGUGGUUAGAGUCAAACUCUGCAGUAUUGGUUCCAUGGCUAGAGACUUGGAGUGUAAAACUAUGAUAUUUUUAUGUACGGUCAUUGCCUAUAA